rnacentral:lncRNA from 1 species
GUUCAGGAGUUAUGGUUCUUGAAAGAUUGAAAAAUGGAGUUUCCAGUCGUGUCCGUGCAUUUAUGCAUGAACUGUUCUACCAAAGCUUCCGAAAUUUUAAAAUGGUGUUACUGAUGACAAAAUGGAGGUCAAGUUCAAUAAUGACGAUUUUGACUUUUACCGUUCAGGAGUUAUGGUUCUUGAAAGAUUGAAAAAUGGUUUUUCCCGUCGUGUCCGUGCAUUUUCUCAUGAACCAUUCAACCAAAGCUUUUGAAAUUUUGAUAUGUUGUUACUGAUGACAAAAUAGAGGUCAAGUUCAA